rnacentral:rRNA from 1 species
UGGGGAAUCUUGCACAAUGGGCGAAAGCCUGAUGCAGCGACGCCGCGUGCGGGACGAAGGCCCUCGGGUUGUAAACCGCUUUCAGUGGGAACGAUGAUGACGGUACCCACAGAAGAAGCUCCGGCUAACUACGUGCCAGCAGCCGCGGUAAUACGUAGGGGGCGAGCGUUGUCCGGAUUUAUUGGGCGUAAAGAGCUCGUAGGUGGUUGGGCAAGUCGGGUGUGAAAUCUUCAGGCUUAACCUGGAGAGGCCACUCGAUACUGCCCUGACUUGAGUCCGGUAGGGGAGUGUGGAAUUCCUGGUGUAGCGGUGAAAUGCGCAGAUAUCAGGAGGAACACCCGUGGCGAAGGCGGCACUCUGGGCCGGUACUGACACUGAGGAGCGAAAGCGUGGGUAGCGAACAG